rnacentral:rRNA from 1 species
AAACCGACACAGGUGGGUGAGGAGAGUAUCCUAAGGCCAGCGAGAGAACUGUUGUUAAGGAACUCGGCAAAAUGACCCCGUAACUUAGGGAUAAGGGGUGCCACCAUCAGGUGGACGCAGAGAAUAGGCCCAAGCGACUGUUUACCAAAAACAUAGGUUUCUGCUAAGUCGCAAGACGAUGUAUAGGAGCUGACGCCUGCCCGGUGCUGGAAGGUUAAGGGGAUCUGUUAGAGCAAUCGAAG